rnacentral:rRNA from 1 species
UACGUAGGUGGCAAGCGUUAUCCGGAAUUAUUGGGCGUAAAGAGCGCGCAGGUGGUUGAUUAAGUCUGAUGUGAAAGCCCACGGCUUAACCGUGGAGGGUCAUUGGAAACUGGUCGACUUGAGUGCAGAAGAGGGAAGUGGAAUUCCAUGUGUAGCGGUGAAAUGCGUAGAUAUCUGGAGGAACAUCAGUGGCGAAGGCGGCCACCUGGACCGAUAUUGACGCUGAGAUGCGAAAGCGUGGGUAGCAAACAGGAUUA